rnacentral:rRNA from 1 species
GAUGAACGCUGGCGGCGUGCCUAAUACAUGCAAGUCGAGCGAACAGAUGAGGAUCUUGCUCCUCGGACGUUAGCGGCGGACGUGUGAGUAACACGUGGAUAACCUACCUAUAAGACGGGUAUCACUUCGGGAAACCGGAGCUAAUACCAGAUAAGAUAUUGAACCGCAUGGUUCAAUAGUGAAAGACGGUGUUGCUGUCACUUAUAGAUGGAUCCGCGCCGCAUUAGCUAGUUGGUAAGGUAACGGCUUACCAAGGCAACGAUGCGUAGCCGACCUGAGAGGGUGAUCGGCCACCCUGGAACGGAGACACGGUCCAGAGUCCUACGGGAGGCAGCAGUAGGGAAUCUUCCGCAAUGGGCGAAAGCCUGACGGAGCAACGCCGCGUGAGUGAUGAAGGUCUCGGGAUCGUAAAGCUCUGUUAUUAGGGAAGAACAAAUGUGUAAGUAACUAUGCACGUCUUGACGGUAACUAAUCAGAAAGCCACGGCUAACUACGUG